rnacentral:rRNA from 1 species
ACAGUGGACGCGAGCAUCUGUGGCCAAGUUUUUAAGGGCGCACGGUGGAUGCCUUGGCACCAGGAACCGAUGAAGGACGUGGGAGGCCACGAUAGUCCCCGGGGAGCCGUCAACCAGGCUUUGAUCCGGGGGUUUCCGAAUGGGGAAACCCGGCAGUCGUCAUGGGCUGUCACCCGCUGCUGAACACAUAGGCAGUGUGGAGGGAACGAGGGGAAGUGAAACAUCUCAGUACCCUCAGGAAGAGAAAACAACCGUGAUUCCGGGAGUAGUGGCGAGCGAAACCGGAUGAGGCCAAACCGUAUGCGUGUGAUACCCGGCAGGGGUUGCGCAUACGGGGUUG